CACAGAGACAGCAACAGAGGACACAGAGAAAGUGAUGGAGAGAGACAGAAGAAUAGAGUUCCAGACAGUUGUAGAAUGUAUGACAAGGCACAUUGUAAGAGCUAUAAAGAGAGAGGGAGAGAACAGGCAGAACCUGAUAUGUAAAUGAGCAGAGCAAAUGAAACUAAUUUUUGACGACCUGAUGAUCAUCCAGACUGUGUUUCUAUUGAGAGAUAAAAGGCUGGUUGAAUGAGUUGUCUAUGAAAGCUACUUCAUCUGUAAGAAAACAGGCGUCUGCACCAGUGACUGGGUCAGUGCUCUAAAAUGAGUCUCUCUGGGGAGAGA